rnacentral:hammerhead_ribozyme from 1 species
AUCCAGCUGACGAGUCCUGAAUAGAACGAAAUGCUCGUCCUGGAU